rnacentral:lncRNA from 1 species
UCAUCUUCCUCAUUUUCUCUCUUCAACCCGCGCUCCCUUCUCUCCACACCAUGGCCAAAACUCAAAUUUUCCUUACAACUCCAUUCCUUGUUGCAUGCACCAUUUCUACUCAAAUCAUGAUCAUUUGAACGCUAAGUUGCCAAUGCAAAGCUUCAGUUCUCCCUCCAUGUCCCUAAAAUGGUUAAACAGCCCCAAACUCUCCAUUUAAAAGAUUCUGCAAAUCUGACCCUUGCAUGAUGAAAUUCUACUUGGAAUUGAGAUACUAGAUGUCCAGAAGUUUAAGAAAAACUGGUUUCGGCUUUCGUUUGUUCUAGUUGAAGAUUUCACUUUUCGUCGAAUCCCGGAACUGUUAUUGACACAU